rnacentral:lncRNA from 1 species
GUAAUGUGACCUUCCCCGGCUCUUUCUCCUCCUGGACCUCUGACUAUGAGUGUUCUUUAAUCCUCCAUCAGUUUCUUUCCAAAUUGAAGCCCUCCAGAACUUGCUCUUUCUAGUGUCCUUAGGCCUGGAAAAAGCCUCAUCUCCUUAAGUUCCAUAUGGCCCCAAAUAAGCCCAUUAAUGCCUCUCCCCACAUACACACACCCUAGGAACGUAUUUCCUCUUCCAAACAACAGUAUUUUACUUCCAGCAGUGGCUCCACACAAUUUGACACUUCCCCUUUCUCUAAUUGCUUACUUUGUGUGUCUGUUUUGCCUCCUGACUAGACUGCAAUAUCUUUGAGGGAGGAGGUUCCGUGGAGCAGGAGGCCCCCGGAGAAUCCCUAAUAAGUGCCAAAUGCAAAAAGGUUGAAGUCACCAGUUGAGAAAAUCCACAUAAAAUACACCUGAGCUUUUGGCCUGUAUAAAAUCAGCAUGAUGUUUUCUCCUGGGAGAGGUUCACAGCAUAUAAUUU